rnacentral:rRNA from 1 species
CCUACGGGUGGCAGCAGUGAGGAAUAUUGGUCAAUGGGCGCGAGCCUGAACCAGCCAAGUAGCGUGAAGGAUGACUGCCCUACGGGUUGUAAACUUCUUUUAUAAAGGCAUACAGUGAGGCACGUGUGCCUUUUUGUAUGUACUUUAUGAAUACGGAUCGGCUAACUCCGUGCCAGCAGCCGCGGUAAUACGGAGGAUCCGAGCGUUAUCCGGAUUUAUUGGGUUUAAAGGGAGCGUAGAUGGGUUGUUAAGUCAGUUGUGAAAGUUUGCGGCUCAACCGUAAAAUUGCAAUUGAUACUGGCAGUCUUGAGUACAGUUGAGGUAGGCGGAAUUCGUGGUGUAGCGGUGAAAUGCUUAGAUAUCACGAAGAACUCCGAUUGCGAAGGCAGCCUACUAAACUGCCACUGACAUUGAUGCUCGAAAGUGUGGGUAUCAAACAGGAUUAGAUACCCCAGUAGUC